rnacentral:misc_RNA from 3 species
AACGCACAUUGCACCCUUUGGUAUUCCGAGGGGUAUGCCUGUCUGAGUGUUUUAAUUAUUACGAGUUGUCACUAUUUAGUGAUAAUGAGUGUGUUGACGGUAAUUACCACCGUCUAAAUUGAUAUUGACAAUUUUAAUAAUCAUUGUCCAUCAUCACAAACAUAAUAACCUCAGAUGGGUAGGACUACGCGCUGAACUUAA